GUCCCUGUAGAUCAGUUGGAAGAUCUUCCGCUGGCAUUAGAAGGGCUACCAAAUCUACGCGGACGACGCGGGUUCGACUCCCGCCGGGGGCA